rnacentral:lncRNA from 1 species
GUUACAUGGAGGGGGACAUCGAACAACCUUACCUCGAGGAAUUGCACACAAACAUCUUACAAAUGUACAUCUAAAAUUUACAUUUAAAAAUGAAAAUUUGAGACUCUCCAUUUAACCAGUCUAAUAAGCCUUUAGAUGUUCUAUUGAAGUCCCUAGCUUGUAUCAUCUUGAAGGAUUUCUUUUUUUACCCAUUAUUUGCAAGCCAAUCAGCUACUUUGUUCCCUUCUCCCCAGAUGUGGGACUAUGAAACUUACUUUUCCAGUAUUGAAGCUCCACCAUCCUGUAUUGAAUACACCACAGACCAGCUGCAAAGUUGUUGACCAGCUACAAAGUUCUUGAAUCCAUCAAACACUAUGAUUUUGUGAAACAGUAGAGUAUUUCAUCGCAAUCCUACCAUGCCUUGAUGGCAGCUUAGAUGUUGUUUUAACUAUUAAUACAGUUAGCUAACAAAUUUGUUCCCAUAAAUAAAGCCCUGAAGCAGAGAUAUAAGUAGAAAUCCGCAUAAAUCUUCAUGGCUACCAAUAAUCAUGAAUUACUACGAUUGCUACUUAUAAAAGUAAUCCACCGUUGUUUCGCAUUUUGGAUUUGAGAUAGCAAUAUAACUGCUGUUUGAAUGCUUUUAUUUCUAACAUAUUCAAUUUCUUUAUUUGUUUAUUUUAUUUAGUGAAAUAGUCCCAAGUACUGGAUAUCCUUUGAAAAUUGUUUGCCAUGAUCUGUGUUUCAUCUGUGGCCUCCUUUUCCUGUUCAAGUUGUUGCAUGUUUUACUAAGCUUAAAAAUAAGUAAAGUUUACGUUUUAUUUCCAAAGACGUUUAUAUGAACUACUUUUUUUUCCCCCUAGAGAAAAUAUUUUCUCGUUCAAGUAACUCAUACUUUAUCGCAAAAUAAACGUGUACUCUUUUUUUUCAAGCUCUAUUAUAACAUUAAAAUUUUCAGGGAGGAGUUUGACGAGGAGAAGGAACCUGAUGGAAUGAUUCUCUCAGGAUGGAUACCUCCUCUUGCAGCAGAAAAGAAUGGCAAGACAGCUGUUGACAAUGAAGUGAGCACAUCCAGUGCAUCUGAAGCUGUUCCCUUAUUGACUGAAGAUGACGACGAUUUGCGUAUCAUUCCAACAAUAACCGGGAAGAAAAGAAAGCUAUCGGACGUUUCCAGCGAGAGGAAGAAUAAAAGAAAAGCAGAAGAACCCAAUAGUAAGAACGAUGUUGUCAUGCUUGAUGAUGAUAAAUUCUGAUAUGAGCAAAGAAGAAGAGGGAGCAAUAGCUAGGUUUUUCCUUAAUUUUUAUUCCAUUAGAAUAUUUCACCCUAACUUUGUACACAACCGAGGAAGGUGAUUCUAGUAUUUAAAAGAAAAAUGAAACGUCAGGCAUGUUUUUGUUUAGAUAACUUAAAUUUUUUUUAUUUAAGGUGUAAUUUAUUCUAACUUUUAAUGGAUUGUGAGGAUCUGAGCAUUGUAACUUUUGGUAGCAGGAUUUUCUCAUGUUUGUGUACAAAAAUAUUGGCUGUUGGGGAUAAAAGUAUGGUUUGUGUUGGCAGUUGCAUCGUUA